CUCCGUGCCAGCAGCCGCGGUAAUACGGAGGGUGCAAGCGUUAAUCGGAAUUACUGGGCGUAAAGCGCGCGUAGGCGGCUUGAUAAGCCGGUUGUGAAAGCCCCGGGCUCAACCUGGGAACGGCAUCCGGAACUGUCAGGCUAGAGUGCAGGAGAGGAAGGUAGAAUUCCCGGUGUAGCGGUGAAAUGCGUAGAGAUCGGGAGGAAUACCAGUGGCGAAGGCGGCCUUCUGGACUGACACUGACGCUGAGGUGCGAAAGCGUGGGUAGCAAACAGGAUUAGAUACCCUGGUAGUCCACGCCGUAAACGAUGUCGACUAGCCGUUGGGGUCCUCGAGACCUUUGUGGCGCAGUUAACGCGAUAAGUCGACCGCCUGGGGAGUACGGCCGCAAGGUUAAAACUCAAAUGAAUUGACGGGGGCCCGCACAAGCGGUGGAGCAUGUGGUUUAAUUCGAUGCAACGCGAAGAACCUUACCUACUCUUGACAUCGAGCGAACUUUCCAGAGAUGGAUUGGUGCCUUCGGGAACGCUCAGACAGGUGCUGCAUGGCCGUCGUCAGCUCGUGUUGUGAAAUGUUGGGUUAAGUCCCGUAACGAGCGCAACCCUUGUCCCUAUUUGCCAGCGAUUCGGUCGGGAACUCUAGGGAGACUGCCGGUGACAAACCGGAGGAAGGUGGGGACGACGUCAGGUCAUCAUGGCCCUUACGAGUAGGGCUACACACGUGCUACAAUGGCCGGUACAAUGGGCUGCAAUCCCGCGAGGGGGAGCUAAUCUCAUAAAGCCGGUCUCAGUCCGGAUCGGAGUCUGCAACUCGACUCCGUGAAGUCGGAAUCGCUAGUAAUCGUGCAUCAGAAUGGCACGGUGAAUACGUUCCCGGGCCUUGUACACACCGCCCGUCACACCAUGGGAGUGGACUGCACCAGAAGUGGUUAGCCUAACUUCGGAGGGCGA
rnacentral:rRNA from 1 species